UACGUAGGGAGCAAGCGUUGUCCGGAUUUACUGGGCGUAAAGAGCGCGCAGGCGGUCGUUCAAGUCGAGUGUGAAAGCCCCCGGCUCAACUGGGGAGGGUCAUUCGAUACUGAUCGACUCGAAGGCAGGAGAGGGAAGUGGAAUUCCCGGUGUAGUGGUGAAAUGCGCAGAUAUCAGGAAGAACACCCGUGGCUAAGGCGGCUCUCUAGUACGGUACUGACGCUGAGACGCGAAAGCGUGGGGAGCAAACAGG
rnacentral:rRNA from 1 species